GGAAUCUUGCACAAUGGACGAAAGUCUGAUGCAGCGACGCCGCGUGAGUGAUGAAGGCUUUCGGGUUGUAAAGCUCUGUUCUCAGGGAAAAACAAAAUGAUUGUACCUGAGAAGAAAGGACCGGCUAACUUCGUGCCAGCAGCCGCGGUAAGACGGGGGGUCCAAGCGUUGUUCGGAAUCAUUGGGCGUAAAGCGGGCGUAGGUGGCUAUGUAAGUCAGGAGUGAAAGCCCUGGGCUCAACCCAGGAAGU
rnacentral:rRNA from 1 species